rnacentral:snoRNA from 1 species
GCAGGAAGCCUGUGAUGUUUUAGCCAUGUGUCUGAACCUGUCUGAAGGACCCUUGUGAAGUCGCACCCUUGGGCUCUGAGGCUUCCAGAGGA